rnacentral:lncRNA from 1 species
AAUCUCGCAAAACGGCGCAUAAAAUAUAAGGACUUUUCGCGAUUAAUUGAUUUUGCCAAAUUGACCUCUCCGCGGACUUUUCACGAUUUCCGAAGAUCCGUCCAUCGAAUUUCCAAACGGAUUGCGCCAGCGCGUUCAGCACGACUGGGGCAUCGAAUCUAGCAUUUUAUUUCAUCUGAUUUGGACUCCGAUCAGCGACGAAACCUGCCCUCUCUAUUUUCACCAUAUAACCAUUUAUAUUAAUACGUGUAAUUUCAAUCAAACCCCUUUUUCUCGACAACUGUGCAUCAGAACCUAAUUCCGUAAGUGCCAUUGGGUCCAGAAUGGUCGAGCUAUUCGAAACGAGCUAUUGAAGUCCUAUAUUCGGAGUUCAACGUGCACCAAAACCCUUCUCUAAUCAUUGGCUCAUCCAGAAAACCGGAGUUACUAUUCACUUAAGUCAUCGGUUUGGGUCGCGUAACUUCUCCGUCUUAGCUCAUUUUCUCCUAAAAUUUGAUGAGUGCUUUAGUAAUUAUAUUACACACAAAAACAUCGUCAACCAAGGGUUUAAUUUUAUUUUUCAAAAAUUUCGGUUAUUACAUCAUUCCCCCCUUACAAGAAGUUUCGUCCCUGAAACUUAAAUUAAACAUCCCCCGUAAACAACUGCGGAUAACUCUCCCGCAUAGAAGACUCAAGCUCCCAUGUAGCCUCACGCU